rnacentral:rRNA from 1 species
CGCCCUNAGAGUUUGAUCCUGGCUCAGGACNNACGCUGGCGGCGUGCUUAACACAUGCAAGUCGAACGGAAAGGCCCUGCUUUUGUGGGGUGCUCGAGUGGCGAACGGGUGAGUAACACGUGAGUAACCUGCCCUUGACUUUGGGAUAACUUCAGGAAACUGGGGCUAAUACCGGAUAGGAGCUCCUGCUGCAUGGUGGGGGUUGGAAAGUUUCGGCGGUUGGGGAUGGACUCGCGGCUUAUCAGCUUGUUGGUGGGGUAGUGGCUUACCAAGGCUUUGACGGGUAGCCGGCCUGAGAGGGUGACCGGCCACAUUGGGACUGAGAUACGGCCCAGACUCCUACGGGAGGCAGCAGUGGGGAAUAUUGCACAAUGGGCGGAAGCCUGAUGCAGCAACGCCGUGUGCGGGAUGACGGCCUUCGGGUUGUAAACCGCUUUCGCCUGUGACGAAGCGUGAGUGACGGUAAUGGGUAAAGAAGCACCGGCUAACUACGUGCCAGCAGCCGCGGUGAUACGUAGGGUGCGAGCGUUGUCCGGAUUUAUUGGGCGUAAAGGGCUCGUAGGUGGUUGAUCGCGUCGGAAGUGUAAUCUUGGGGCUUAACCCUGAGCGUGCUUUCGAUACGGGUUGACUUGAGGAAGGUAGGGGAGAAUGGAAUUCCUGGUGGAGCGGUGGAAUGCGCAGAUAUCAGGAGGAACACCAGUGGCGAAGGCGGUUCUCUGGGCCUUUCCUGACGCUGAGGAGCGAAAGCGUGGGGAGCGAACAGGCUUAGAUACCCUGGUAGUCCACGCUGUAAACGGUGGGUACUAGGUGUGGGGUCCAUUCCACGGGUUCCGCGCCGUAGCUAACGCUUUAAGUACCCCGCCUGGGGAGUACNGCCGCAAGGCUAAAACUCAAAGGAAUUGACGGA